rnacentral:ncRNA from 1 species
UUAGUACAUCAAAUUUUUUGAUGUAAAAGGGAAUGAGGUGUGAAUCCUCAACUUUACCAGAAGCUGUAAAGUCCAUUAAAUUUUUUGGAAACUACAUGCCACUGUUCAUAUUUAUGAAUGGGAAGGUUCUUCCAAAAGGGAUCAAGUCAGAAAACCUGCUAAUUCAA